rnacentral:rRNA from 1 species
CACCUACGGGAGGCAGCAGUAGGGAAUAUUGGACAAUGGGCGCAAGCCUGAUCCAGCCAUGCCGCGUGAGUGAAGAAGGCCCUCGGGUUGUAAAGCUCUUUUGUUGGGGAAGAAAAGCAGUUGGUUAAUACCCGAUUGUUCUGACGGUACCCAAAGAAUAAGCACCGGCUAACUUCGUGCCAGCAGCCGCGGUAAUACGAAGGGUGCAAGCGUUACUCGGAAUUACUGGGCGUAAAGCGUGCGUAGGUGGUUUGUUAAGUCUGAUGUGAAAGCCCUGGGCUCAACCUGGGAAUUGCAUUGGAUACUGGCAAGCUAGAGUGCGGUAGAGGAUAGUGGAAUUCCCGGUGUAGCAGUGAAAUGCGUAGAGAUCGGGAGGAACAUCUGUGGCGAAGGCGACUGUCUGGACCAGCACUGACACUGAGGCACGAAAGCGUGGGGAGCAAACAGGAUUAGAUACCCUGGUAGUCCACGCCCUAAACGAUGCGAACUGGAUGUUGGGCUCAAUUUGGAGCUCAGUAUCGAAGCUAACGCGUUAAGUCGCCGCC